AUGUCGUCAGCCCGUGCAGUAAGGUGUUGGGUUAAGUCCCGCAACGAGCGCAACCCCUACCAUUAGUUGCCAUCAGGUUAUGCUGAGCACUCUAAUGGGACUGCCUACGCAAGUAGUGAGGAAGUGGGGAUGACGUCAAGUCCGCAUGCCCUUACGCCUAGGGCUACACACGUGCUACAAUGGGUGUUACAAUGGGUUGCAAGACCGCGAGGUUUAGCCAAUCCCCUAAAGGCACCCCCAGUUCGGAUUGGAGUCUGAAACCCGACUCCAUGAAGCUGGAAUUGCUAGUAAUCGCGGAUCAGCACGCCGCGGUGAAUACGUUCAAGGGCCUUGUACACAACGCCCGUCAAGCCGUGGAAGCCGGGGGUACCCGAAGCCAGUAUCCUAACCGCAAGGAGGGAGCUGUUUAAGGUAAAACCGGUGACUGGGGCUAAGUCGUAACAAGGUAA
rnacentral:rRNA from 1 species